rnacentral:rRNA from 1 species
UACGUAGGGGGCGAGCGUUGUCCGGAAUUAUUGGGCGUAAAGCGCGCGCAGGCGGUCUCUUAAGUCUGAUGUGAAAGCCCACGGCUCAACCGUGGAGGGUCAUUGGAAACUGGGGGACUUAAGGGCAGGAGAGGAGAGCGGAAUUCCACGUGUAGCGGUGAAAUGCGUAGAGAUGUGGAGGAACACCAGUGGCGAAGGCGGCUCUCUGGCCUGCACCUGACGCUGAGGCGCGAAAGCGUGGGGAGCAAACAGG